rnacentral:rRNA from 1 species
UACGUAGGGAGCAAGCGUUGUCCGGAAUCAUUGGGCGUAAAGCGCGCGUAGGCGGCUCGAUCAGUCUGUUGUGAAAGUCAAAGGCUCAACCUUUGAAUGCCGAUGGAUACUGUCGAGCUAGAGUCCGGAAGAGGCGGGUGGAAUUCCUGGUGUAGCGGUGGAAUGCGCAGAUAUCAGGAGGAACACCGAUUGCGAAGGCAGCUCGCUGGGACGUAACUGACGCUGAGACGCGAAAGCGUGGGGAGCAAACAGG